rnacentral:rRNA from 1 species
GACGUAGGGCGCGAGCGUUGUCCGGAUUUAUUGGGCGUAAAGAGCUCGUAGGCGGCUUGUCGCGUCGACUGUGAAAACCCGCGGCUCAACUGUGGGCUUGCAGUCGAUACGGGCAGGCUGGAGUUCGGUAGGGGAGACUGGAAUUCCUGGUGUAGCGGUGAAAUGCGCAGAUAUCAGGAGGAACACCGGUGGCGAAGGCGGGUCUCUGGUACGUGACUGACGCUGAGACGCGAAAGCGUGGGGAGCGAACAGG